CAGCCGCCACGGGAAUACGUAGGUGGCAAGCGCUGUCCGGAAUUAUUGGGCGUAAAGGGCACGCAGGCGGUUUCUUAAGUCUGAUGUGAAAGCCCCCGGCUCAACCGGGGAGGGUCAUUGGAAACUGGGAAACUUGAGUGCAGAAGAGGAGAGUGGAAUUCCACGUGUAGCGGUGAAAUGCGUAGAGAUGUGGAGGAACACCAGUGGCGAAGGCGACUCUCUGGUCUGUAACUGACGCUGAGGAGCGAAAGCGUGGGGAGCGAACAGGAUUAGAUACCCCUGUAGUCCCUGUCUCUUAUAC
rnacentral:rRNA from 1 species